CUCUGACUAUGAUGGGUGAUGGGCGUCCAGUGGCUGAAGAGGGAUUCACUGUGAAAGCAUAAGUUGAAAGUCACUGUGCUGUGGGCAGUCUUCCCUGGAUUCUUAGCAUAGGUACAGAUUCUGUGGUGUUUCUGCAUCUUGCUUUGUACUACGCAGUGCACUUAAAACAACGUCAUGGGUUUUACCUUGUACCUCAAAUUAUAACGUGUAAUUUUACGUUUUAUUUUCUUUCAUAUGCGUGCAUUUUCUAUCAAGCAAAUCUGUAGGUAACUAUGUUUUUUAUUGGCCUAUUAUUUGUAAAGAAUUUUAGGAAACAAAGGGAAUUGCUACAUAUUGUUUUUUUUUUAAUUUAAUCGUUCUUAAAGAAUAAAUGUCUGGCCCUUUUAAGAGAUCUGUUUGAUGCAUGUCCAAAAGCUAGGACCUGUUUGGGUUUUGGUGUGUAUCUCGCUAUUUUUGCAUGUUUCUUUUAUGCAAAUUAUUAAACUAAUAGUAUUCCUAUAAAAGCUACAUUAUAUUUAUUUAUUUAGGUUUCUAAAGUAGGUUAUUUAAAUUAAAUUAUUCCUUGAGAAGUUCAUUUGUAUAUAUAAUGUUUUUAGAUUAUGUUUAACCCUAAACCUUCCAAGUUCCUCCCUGCCCCCACUGUGCCCUUCCCAAUUCUCUUCCUGCCCCCAAAUAAAGUACUGAAUCCUGUUAGUGUUCCUUGAUGUACAUUCUUGAGUCAUGAAAAGCUACACCUAACCGCAGCCCUGAAGAAAAGUUACAUUAUUUUGCCUAGCAGCCAUCAGUGGUCAGUCUGAGAGUCAGACAGCACACAAUCUCAGAUGUGGUUAUAGCCUUGAAUCGUUAGCUUUGUGUGUUUGGCUUAGAUUUGUGGCAGAAACCACGAAAUGGGGCUAUUUGGAGUGGCAUUAAGAGGAGUUUACCAGAACACAGAUUACCAGUUCCUUUUCAUUGGAAAGAGAAUUCUUUUCACAUCAACUAUAUUCAAGUCUACAACAGUUUAUAAUCUCUUGUGGGCAGAAGAUGACAGAACUGACAUACUACAGAGGAAGGUAUGAAGAGUUACAGCGAGCAAGUAUGGGCCAUUCUCUCAGGUAUUUCUGCAGAAGCCACCCAUUAUAAGUGCACCAAACUUAUGUAUCAUUGGUAAGAAUUGCUCACAUGUGUUUAUACAUUAUGGCCGUUUUAAAGCAUAGAUUAACCCAUAAUGUUCAAGAGAGAGCCUCCUUGUUUUUCUUUUAAAUUCAUUUGUUUUGAUUUCGUGCAUAUAAUUAUUUUGUCUAUAUUUUUUUUUGUUGUUGUUGUUUUCUUUUGGGCAACACUUCCAUUCCUGGUAGCUGCUGUGGCCAGAAGAUGAUACUGAAUUUCUGAGAGCUGGAGUCAAGGGUGAUUGUGAGUUACCAUGUGGGUGCUGACAAAGGAACACAAGUCCUUUGGAAGUGCUCCUAAUCCAAGCCAUAUCACGAGACAGAGUCACCUUAGCUUUGUUGUUGUUGUUGAUGAUGAUGUUGUUGUUGUUUUUGACACAGAGUCUCUCACAGGGACCUGAGUUUCACAGAUUUGACUGCCUGACCAGGGACCUCCAGGGACAUGGAAUUCUUGACUUUCCAGUGUUUGCUAGGACUGAAGAUGUGUACCACCAUCACCCCACGGUUGUAAGGAAGCCAUACGUGUCUGACUGAAAAAUGGAUUACUUAGAUAAGGAUGACCCUUGAAGAACAAUCUUGCUUUGGGUUGAGAUACUUCAGUUAUGAAGACCACUUAGCCAGAGGCAGAACUACAGAAGGAAAAAGCAAGAUCUACCUGAGGACCAAGCUAUGUCACUCUUUGGAAUAUACCCAAAAGAUGCCCCAUCAUGCCACAGGGAAUGGAAUACUACUCAGCUAUUAAGAACAAGGACAUCCUGAGUUUUGCAGGCAAGAAGAUGGAACUGGAAAAUAUCAUCUGAAUGAGGACUGAAGUCAAGGACUGCUGUGGUUGAAUUAAGGAAAGGCUGGAAGAAGCUGAAGAGGUUGGCGACCCCAAAAGAAGACCAGAAGUCUCAACUCUCCCAGACUCCUGAGAUCUCUCAGACAUUGAGUCCCCAACCAGCAGCAUACAAGAACUGGUGGGAGGACCCUGACGCAUAUACAGCAGAGGACUGCCUGGUCUGGCCUCAGUGAGAGAAUCCUUGCCUAACCCUUUAGAGACUUGAGGACCCAGGAAGUGGGGAGACCUGGUCAGUGUCUUCGAGUAACUGUUGGUUGCCUUUGGUGGCCAGAUGAUGGUGUGAGAUCCCCUAAACUGGAUUUACUGACAUUUUGGUUCAGUGGUAGCUAUCAACACAGCAGAAUCCAAAAUCAGCUUGGAGGCAAGUCCUUCGGACAUCUCUGAGGGGUCAUCUUGUUGUUUGAAGAACCAUCUUAAUUGUAACUAAGAACAUCCCCUGGGUGGAAAAUCCUGUAUUGCAUAAAAUGAUGAAGGCAGGAGAAAUGACUUCAAUUCAACAUGAAAUUAAUCCCCCAGACCAUCAUUAGAGUGCAAAGGUGACCUGAGCAUCUGAGCCUUCAGGAAGACAUGCUUCAUGGAUCUCAAUUUGGAUUUCUGAACAGAGAAACAGGUAUCAUCAAUUACUGGUACUUGUAAUGCACAACAUUGCCAUGAAGAAAACGGAAUUAGCACAGAGCAUGCAGAGUACCUUCCAACUCCAUGAACAUUACAUGUGAAGCUUCAAGUUUGGUAUCUGCACAAUUUCUCAAUGGUUGAUGACAGAAGUAUCUCUGAUACGGAGUCUCAGUGUACUUUGUAGUGAGGUUGCAAAUUCAAGCACUAAUGCAAUGCUUCCUGUCAGCCUCCUGAGAAGAUCACACUGGAGACCACUACUCUGAUCUAUGAUAUAAACUGCAAGAACUUUCCUGAUGAGGAAUAGGACUCUGUGUUUAUACCCUUAACCAAUGCUGUAACUGUGAUCUAUGGCAAGGGAAGAACAAGAUCUCAGGACUGGUUCAUCACCUUACUAAGAUAUUCAAAAUUACAUAAUACUAGAAGAACUUUUUUUUCUUACAAUCUUAGAAUGUGGAGGGAAUCUUAUUUAACUAGUGUACAGUUGACAGAGGAUACCUAGGGAGUUUAUUCCCAUGCUGAGAUACCAAUUCCUUACUACUGUCCACAGCAUUCUUAGAUACUUCCUUUUCAAAGUGAGUCUAGCAGAGGCAAAAAGUUCGUAGUCGUUCAUACUGUAAUUUAGAAUUAUACAAAAAGUGUUUAUGCAUAGACAGUGGAUAGAAAGGCUCAAUUCUGCAACUCAUGUGUUAUCUUUGACUUUUUAAAAGGAGCUGUUCACUAGAGAGUAGCUGCAAGGAAUGGAAAAUUUGAUGAGCCACACUGAGGAAGACUGAGGAAGCGGAGAGCUGACAUCAAUUCACAUUAUGGUGUAAUCAUUUUUCUAUAAACGGAAAACCAGAAGUCUCAACUAUCCCGGACUCCUGAGAUCUCUUAGACAUUGAGCCCAACCAGCAUCAUAGAAGAAUUGGUGGGAGGACACUGACACAUAUACAACAGAGGACUUCCUGGGCUGGUCUCAGUGAGAGAAUCCUUGCCUAACCCUCUAGAGACUUGAGGACCCAGGGAGUGGGGAGGCCUGGUGGGUGAGCAUGGGAAAAUCCUCUUGGAGGCAGGAUGGGAGGAGGAAUUGUAGGAGGAACUGCUGGAGGUCAGCCUGGGAAGUGGGUAAUGACUGAAAUGUAAAAAAUGUAAAAGCAGAAGAUUUUUAAAAAAUCUAUGUAAUGUUUUUGCUUGAAUAUAGGUCAAUGUCUUUGAAUAACUGUCCAUUGCAUUUGGUGGCCAGAUGAUGGUGUGAGAUCCCCUGAAACUGGAAUUAGUGAUAUUUUGGUAGCUAUCAACAUGGCAGAAUCUGAAAUCAACUUGGAGGCAAGUCCUUCGGACAUCUGUGAGGGGUCAUCUUGUUGUUUGAAGAACUAUCUUAAUUGUAGCUAAGAACAUCCCCUGGGUGGAAAAUCCUGUAUUGUAUAAAAUGAUGAAGGCAGGAGAAAUGGCUUCAAUUCAACAUGAAGUUAAUCCCCCAGACCAUCUUAAGAGUCCAAAGGUGACCUGACUAUCUGAGCCUUCAGGAAGACAUGCUUCAUGGAUCUUAAUUUGGAUUUCUGAACAGAGAAACAGGUCAUUGGUAGAUAAGUUAAACUUUCAAAAUCAGGUAUUUCUAUUUAGUGUACUCAGCCUCGUGAGUUUGUGUGGAAAUAUGGGGAGCAUCAGAAGAGUUGGGAGGCAGAGGGAGGGUAGACAUGAUGUAAAUAAAGUACCCUGCACGAAAUUCUAAAAGAAUCCUGGAAUGCAUCAUAAAGUUUCAGAAUACUGUUUACACAGACUUCAGUGUACAUUGCCCUGAAACUUAAUAUUUUGAACUUAUUUUGCACAAUUCCUGUUUUAAAAGGUACUCCACAAAUUUAAAUCCCUACUUAGUUGUAUGCGACUUAGAGUUCUGCAGUCUGUCUCCACACUCUUAAAUCUGUGCACUGUUAGGACUAAUAGCAUUGAUAUAUAUUUAUUUUCUGUUUGUUUCCUGUGAAAACUACAUUGUAGACAUGUCUUUUCAGUGAUUCAUUUAUGCAGGAAAUAUACUCUUCUUUUAAUGUUACAGUGAAAACAGUUACUAUAUUUAUGGCAUGGUAAUAUUUUCUUAUCAUCUAUGUGAUUUCUAAUGUGCUAUUUCAUUCAUUGUGAUGUCACUUUACUCAGGCUGUACUCAGGUUUUUCUGUUAUUAUUCAUGUUGUUUUUGUUUUCUUUGUCAUUUUGUGGUCGAUGCUACUUUAGGUAUCAUCAAUUACUGGUACUUGUAAUACACAGCAUUGCCAUGAAGAAAACGGAAUUAGCACAGGAAGUGUAUAAUGAGGCAAAGAAACUGAGUAUAACCCACCCCGUUAGUGGUGGGUGUAGGCUCAUUAUCCCUAUGCUAGAGAUUUUCUACCCAUGCUUUUUCCAAUAGGUAAACAUUGCUACACCAAAAUUAAACUCUGCAUUUGGUUAAUUGCACCCUUUAGAGUCUAUAAGUCAUAUUUCAAAAAAUUUUAACAUUAUUUGCAAUAUAUUUUUCUAAUAUUUAUGGUUUUUCUAUAAUUAUGAAGAUUAUUGCUUUAAUUGAAAACAUUUUUUAUAAAAUAUAUUCCAAUCACAGUUUCUCCUCCCCCACAUGACCUACCUUAAUGCCCCCGUUUCUCUCCCUCUCUGUUGAAAACACACAGUGACAUUAACACUAACAAUGACAUUCAUUAAAACACAGAGCAACACACACAUUCACACACACACACACACACAGAGAAAGAGACAGAGAGAGACAGAGAGAGACAGAGACAGUCAGAAUCAGAGACACAGAGAGACACAGAGACAGAGAGACAGUCAGAGACAGAGAGACUGAGAGACAGAGAGAAUGAGAGACAGAGAGAAUAAGAUACAUAAAACAGAAGUGGUGAAUACCUUUAAUCACAGCCCUCUGGAGGCAGAGGCAGGCAGAUAACAUGAGUUCAAGGCCAGACUGCAGAGUGAUUUUCUCAGGACAGCAAGAGUACAAUGAGAAAACCAGGUCAAAAAACUCUCAAGAGGAAAAAAAAUCAUAAAACAUAAAAUUAGAAGCAAAAAGACCAGUAACAUAAGAAAAUGGUAAAAUGAAGCAAUAUGAGACAAAAGUCUGUAAGAUACCAUUGAGCUCACUUUGUGUUGUGCAGAUAUGAGGCCAACCUUCAAAUGUAAUCAAUAUAUCCAUUCAUAUAUUUUUCCUUUAUACGUGGUUGUCAGUUGGAGGUAGCCUUUUAGUUAGUGAUGGGCGCCCGUUCAUGUGUUCACUUCCCCCUCUCAGUGCUAAGAUCUUAUCUAGCUUGAAUCGCAGCAGCUGGCCACACUGCCACAAUUCCACUGACUUCAUAUGUGUAUCACCACUCCUGUGUCUGAAAGAUAGUGUUCCCAUGGGAGUUAGCCAUCACCUUUGGCUCUUAUACUCUUUUUUACUCCUAUUCCAUCUAGCAUCAAACCCUGAAUAGAGACCUGAAAGACAUAUCAUUUAUGAAUGAGUGUUUCAAGCCUCUCAUUCUUUGUAUACUGUCUACUAUCAGCCUUUAUUUUCAGUGCCUAUACAUACACAUAUAUAUACACAUACACAUACACAUAUACAUAUAUAGACAAUGUGUAUACAUACAUAA